rnacentral:rRNA from 1 species
AGAGUUUGAUCCUGGCUCAGGAUGAACGCUAGCGAUAGGCUUAACACAUGCAAGUCGAGGGGCAGCAUUAUUUUAGCUUGCUAAGAUAGAUGGCGACCGGCGCACGGGUGCGUAACGCGUAUGCAACCUGCCUGUAAUUAGGGAAUAACCCGGUGAAAGUCGGACUAAUACCCUAUAUUCUUCUUUCUCCACAUGGAGAAGGACGGAAAGAUUUAUUGAUUACAGAUGGGCAUGCGUCCCAUUAGCUAGUUGGUAAGGUAACGGCUUACCAAGGCAACGAUGGGUAGGGGGACUGAGAGGUUGACCCCCCACACUGGUACUGAGACACGGACCAGACUCCUACGGGAGGCAGCAGUGAGGAAUAUUGGUCAAUGGGCGAGAGCCUGAACCAGCCAAGUCGCGUGAAGGACGACGGUUCUAUGGAUUGUAAACUUCUUUUGUAGAGGAAUAAUGGCAGCUACGCGUAGCUGAGAUGCAUGUACUCUACGAAUAAGUAUCGGCUAACUCCGUGCCAGCAGCCGCGGUAAUACGGAGGAUACGAGCGUUAUCCGGAAUUAUUGGGUUUAAAGGGUGCGUAGGUGGCGUAUUAAGUCAGUGGUGAAAAGCUGCAGCUCAACUGUAGUCUUGCCGUUGAAACUGAUAUGCUAGAGAGGAGACGAGGUAUGCGGAAUGUGUGGUGUAGCGGUGAAAUGCAUAGAUAUCACACAGAACGCCGAUUGCGAAGGCAGCGUACCAGGCUCCGUCUGACACUGAAGCACGAAAGCGUGGGGAUCAAACAGGAUUAGAUACCCUGGUAGUCCACGCAGUAAACGAUGAAUACUAGAUUUUUGCGAUAUAGUGUAAGAGUCUAAGCGAAAGCGAUAAGUAUUCCACCUGGGGAGUACGCCGGCAACGGUGAAACUCAAAGGAAUUGACGGGGGCCCG